rnacentral:rRNA from 1 species
UACGUAGGGGGCGAGCGUUGUCCGGAUUUAUUGGGCGUAAAGAGCUCGUAGGCGGCUCGGUAAGUCGGGUGUGAAAUUUCGAGGCUCAACCUCGAAACGCCACCCGAUACUGCUGUGGCUAGAGUCCGGUAGGGGAGCGUGGAAUUCCUGGUGUAGCGGUGAAAUGCGCAGAUAUCAGGAGGAACACCAGCGGCGAAGGCGGCGCUCUGGGCCGGUACUGACGCUGAGGAGCGAAAGCGUGGGGAUCAAACAGG